AGAGAUAAUGCAGUAAAACAAAAAAAUGGGGGAAAUCCUAUUAUUUGGAGACUGAAAAACAAAUGACAAUUCAAAAACCUGAAUGGAGGACUGAAACGGCGAGCCCUGCCGGCAGACGCCCGCGUGAAAGUUAAACCCAGACUGCUUCGUCGAUUCGACCUCCAGGGUUGAGAACCGUUGGGGAAUUGCUGUGACUCCCGUCGCCGUCCACCCCUCCCUCCGUCUGGCUGGGCAGGUUGGGGUUCACCAGCGAGGUGCCGGUGGACGCGCUAGUGCAAGGCGGGAUCAUCCGGGACGGCGAGCGGUCCCCGCCCGGGACCAUGGAGAACUGGUGGAAGUCUGAAUCUGAAAAAAAAGGAGAAAACGGCUGAACGGCUGUCUGCCGUGGGGGUCUGGAAGACUAAAAAAAGACGAGAGAAAAAGAUGUUAAAAAAAGAGAGGAGGUGUGAGAGACGAGGCAGCGAGCAAAAAAGAGAGAAAAGGAGCCAAUCUGUGGUGGAGCCCUGCCAGCCGUCUGUGUGGUCCAUGCGUUCCCGCCCGGAGGAAGCUUGCCAGGCAAGGAAAAAGCGCACACACUUCCAUACACACUAGAGCUACACAACAACUCCCAAGGGCCGUGCAUUUAUUCAACGCAAACACACUUUCUACACAUUUGUACAAUACUGUACAAAGAGCAAACACACAGUUUGGCCUUUCAGACGGGCUUCCUCUGCACCUUUCUGCUCACAUUAAAGUGUUUUGAUCCAGAACAGAGCAAAUGUGAAAGAUGUUUUUGUCGCAACCAAAUCCAGACUUUGUCUCUUCAUCAUUAUCUCCCUUUAUGAUUCACUUGCAGCCUCUAUGGUCGUCUGUGCUCCUCUUUGUCUGGCCGUCCCUGUGAAUAAUUCUGUUAUGCAUUGUGGAGGCUUUGGCACCUCUUCAAGGAACUUCAUAAGACAUUCAAGUGACUGGCUGCCUUGGGAAAAGCCUUAAGUAUUUUUCUCGCUUGUCUCCCCUCCUUUUGAUUUCUUUUCCGCCUGAUGUUUUGGUGAGUUUUAUUUGUCCAGCUCCCAUUACCAAAGGCUGAGUCGAGUAGUUUUUUUUUGUGAAAUCCUACGUAAUUACACUAAUACCGAGUAAAUGUUUGUUCUAUUUUGGGACCAGUUACUGACGGAAAACGAUCAUAUGAAGGAAAUUCUUGGAAAUUAAAUGCCAUCCCCUCACUUUCAUGUUCAACCGUGUUAAGACAAACGGUUAAUGAAGCUUUAGGGUUUAAAAAACUCAAUCUGAGUCCAGUAAACAAAUAAUGGAUCCAUAAAAUAGAGGUCGAUCUUUUAAAAAAAGGAUCCUUUUCUUGGAACGUUACCCUACUCUCGCGAGAACCUCAGAGAUUUGAAACAAACAUGGUGGGAUAAAAAGUUUGGAAAAAACUAAAAAGAUCGAAAGCAAAUGUUGAAAUGUUUGUAAAACGAUGUGCAGAAAUCAAAAGAAUCGCAAAUUUACGACGAGUAUUUCGGCCACCAAGAAAGUAAUAUAACGAUAUUAAAAGUCAUAAAUUUGUGACUUUUAAUCUCGUAACAUUGCAAGUUUUUUUCUCGUGAAUUUACGACUUUCAAACAUGUAAAUUGACGCCUUUAAAUCUCAAAAAUUUACAAUAAA